AGAGUUUGAUCAUGGCUCAGGACGAACGCUGGCGGCGUGCCUAACACAUGUAAGUCGAACGGGACUGGGGGGGCAACUCUCCAGUUCAGUGGCAGACGGGUGCGUAACACGUGAGAAACUUGUCCAUCGGUGGGGGAUAGCCGGCCCAACGGCCGGUUAAUACCGCGUACGAUCAUGCAGGGGCAUCCCCGCAUGAUGAAAGCAUCGCAAGAUGCGCCGGCGGAGAGUCUCGCGGCCUAUCAGCUAGUUGGCGGGGUAACGGCCCACCAAGGCGACGACGGGUAGCUGGUCUGAGAGGAUGGCCAGCCACAUUGGGACUGAGACACGGCCCAGACUCCUACGGGAGGCAGCAGUGGGGAAUCUUGCGCAAUGGCCGCAAGGCUGACGCAGCGACGCCGCGUGUGGGAUGACGGCCUUCGGGUUGUAAACCACUGUCGGGAGGAACGAAUACGCGCCUUGAGCGCGGGUGACGGUACCUCCAAGGGAAGCACCGGCUAACUCCGUGCCAGCAGCCGCGGUAAUACGGAGGGUGCGAGCGUUGUCCGGAAUCACUGGGCGUAAAGGGCGCGUAGGUGGCCCGUUAAGUGGCUGGUGAAAUCCCGCGGCUCAACUGCGGGGCUGCCGGUCAGACUGGCGAGCUAGAGCACGGUAGGGGCAGAUGGAAUUCCCGGUGUAGCGGUGGAAUGCGUAGAGAUCGGGAAGAAUACCAGUGGCGAAGGCGUUCUGCUGGGCCGUUGCUGACACUGAGGCGCGACAGCGUGGGGAGCAAACAGGAUUAGAUACCCUAGUAGUCC
rnacentral:rRNA from 1 species